UGCUCUGGGAAGGCCGCGUUCACCUGGAGGCUUUGUUAGCGGUCUCUGUGUUCUUUCUUCUCCAGCAACUGCCGCUGACCCCUGCGCACCCUCCCCGGGCUCCCGAGCAGUGAGUGCGCAGCCUGCUGCACCGCAGGAGCGGGGGGACUCGGCAGCCGCCCUCAGACCGGGCGGAGGGGGCGGGAGGGGCACGGAGGAAGCCUUCCAAGGGGAAAUGUCAGUGCUGCAGGAAGUGGUCGCUUCUCAUCUUUUAAGAUUCGGAGAGCCGGCUCGAGAGAUUCCGGUAACACAGAAGGUGAAACCAAAAGCUUGGGGUGAAUGGUGUCUCGAUUUGAGGAAUAUUCACAAGGCAAAUCGCCCAGCCUAGAGCUGACGCCUCAGCUGUGUGAGCCAAAAAUUCUAAUUUGUGAGCACACGGAAAGACCCUUUUAAACAGCUUCAUCGAGCUGUGAGAUUCAGCAGUGAUGUCGCCUGUGGCUGUAGACAGUCGGAUCUGCUAUGGUAUAAGUUUUCAUCAUGUGACGAUACCACAACUUAUUUCCCAGUUCUGCCAGCAGUGGACACCGGGUGGGGAUCGGCUGAAGCUGCAAACUGAUCACGAGUAUGGGUGGGCUGGAGCAAGGCCCAUCUGAGAACAAAGAGCACCCGAGGUGCAUCCAUUUUCCUGCAAAUGAAGCUUCCUUCCCUGUAGGUGGAAAGGUCAACUAGUACAGCCGCUGUGCAAAUCAGUAUGGAGAUUUCUCAGAAAACUAAAAUUAGGAAUUCCCUAUGACCCAGCGCUGCCCCUGUAAGUAUCUUCCUCGAAGAGUUUAAGACCUCAUGCUGGAGUGACACUGGCGUACCAGGUGUACAGGGGCACAGCCCGGGGUAGCUCAGUCCUGGAAGAGCCCACAGACCCGUCAGUGGGUGACUGGAUACAGAAAAUGUGGUGUCUCUGCUGCAUGGAAUUCCGCCCGGCUACGCAGAAAGGCAAGUUUGAAACAUUUGCAGGAAGAUGGAUGCUCCCCUUCUACCCUUACCGCCCCUCAGGAGACUGUAAUUCCAGCUGUAGGUCUUGGCACCUUUCAAAGUGUGAAAUUGGUGUUUAUUAUGUAAUUGUUGAAUGAAUUGUGGAUGUGACCCUGGGUUUUGUCACACACCAGCAGCCUCUGACUUGUCUCUUACCCCCCUCUGCACCACAGUUCUUACAAUUUCUAUUUCUAUUGUGGCUAACGUCAGCAAGCACACUUGUUUUUGUUUCUUUGCUCAGUGAAAGUAGUUGAUCCCUUGGAAGAACCGUGGGAGAAGUCUUAGUACUUCUCUGUUCUUAUGCAAGUAAUCAAAGUUUUCUCAGCCAGUGAUCAAAAUUCCCAGACCCGUACACAGUAAAAGCUCCAGUUUUAUGUGAAAAGUUAUUCCUGUUUGGGGAAUACGGGUGCGGUCAGGAGCAGAGAGGAGAACCUGGACUUGCCCCCGUCGGCUCCCCGGCUUUGGCGCAGGUCGUUACUGUGCUUUCCCUGCUUCCUUUCCUGGGCUCCUC